rnacentral:miRNA from 1 species
UAAGUGCUUCCAUGUUUUAGUG